rnacentral:rRNA from 1 species
CCUACGAGAGGCAGCAGUGGGGAAUAUUGCACAAUGGGGGAAACCCUGAUGCAGCGACGCCGCGUGCGUGAAGAAGUAUUUAGGUAUGUAAAGCUCUAUCUGCACGGAAGAAAAUGACCGUACCUGUAUAAGAAGCCACGGCUAACUACGUGCCAGCCGCCGCGAUAAUACGUAGGGGGCAAGCGUUAUCCGGAUUUACUGGGGGUAAAGGGAGCGUAGACGGUGUGUCAAGUCAGCAGUGAAAGCACGGGGCUCAACCACGGGACUGCUGUUGAAACUGGUGUACUGGAGUGCAGGGGUGGUAAGCGGAAUUGCUAGUGGAGCGGUGAAAUGCGUAGAUAUGAGGAAGAACACCGGUGGCGAAGGCGGCUUACUGGACUGUAACUGACGUUGAGGCUCGAAAGCGUGGGGAGCAAACAGGAUUAGAUACCCUUGUAGUC